UACGUAGGGGGCAAGCGUUGUCCGGAUUUAUUGGGCGUAAAGAGCGUGUAGGCGGCCAGACAGGUCCGUUGUGAAAACUCGAGGCUCAACCUCGAGGCGCCGAUGGAAACCGUCUGGCUAGAGUCCGGAAGAGGAGAGUGGAAUUCCUGGUGUAGCGGUGAAAUGCGCAGAUAUCAGGAAGAACACCCGUGGCUAAGGCGGCUCUCUAGUACGGUACUGACGCUGAGACGCGAAAGCGUGGGGAGCGAACAGG
rnacentral:rRNA from 1 species